UACGUAGGGUGCGAGCGUUGUCCGGAAUUAUUGGGCGUAAAGGGCUCGUAGGCGGUUUGUCGCGUCGGGAGUGAAAACCAGGUGCUUAACACCUGGCUUGCUUUCGAUACGGGCAGACUAGAGGUAUGCAGGGGAGAACGGAAUUCCUGGUGUAGCGGUGAAAUGCGCAGAUAUCAGGAGGAACACCGAUGGCGAAGGCAGGUCUCUGGGCAUUAACUGACGCUGAGGAGCGAAAGCAUGGGGAGCGAACAGG
rnacentral:rRNA from 1 species